GGUCGAGGCAUGAAACACAAUACUUCAAGGCAAACGCAGCGUUAAAUUGGGAAUGAAUGUACUUCUGCUGUACAGAAAUCCAAUAAUCGGUUCGAUCGAGGCGUUCCUUAAAACGGAGGCGUGACAACGACAUAUUUUUGGAGUUAUGGCAACGCGAGACUACCAAAGCACAGACAUCACGUUAGUUGCAGCACGUCUAAAGUAACACAGUGUUGUUAAGGUGCGAGGGACAUCCUGUGCCACCAGUCAAUUGACGGUGGAUCACCUUCUGACCCCGUGCUCGCCAGGUGACCCGGCUGCCAUAGAAUUGACCUGGAUGGAUGUGCCUAGCGACAAGCUGCUGGAACCCAUCAUCUGCAUGUCUGACAUGCUGUGCUCACUAUCCACCACGCAACCCACAGUCAACAUAGAGGUCUUGUUCAAGGUCAGGAAGUUCACAGAGGAUUUCGAACAGGAGGGUUGAGAGGUCCUGGUUGGCAGGGGCUUUACUACUCAGUCUCUCCUAUCAAGACCCAACUCCAGUCAAAUAGUAGCUACAGUAUUACAACAGUAUUACAACACUACGAACCUGCAUUGACAAGAAUGAUGGAGCAUUUUAACUUACACCCAAUUGUUGUUUUUUUUGCAUAUCCCAACUCCCUCUGAGACACCCACAAGUGCCUUAUUUUCCCACUUUGUCGGCUCCGGUAUUUGAGCCAGCAACCUUUCGGUAACUGGCCCAAUGAUCUAAAGUUGAGGCUACGUGCCGCCCCUUAGUGGGUCUGCAGGGUGACUCCCCUAGUGGGUCUGGAACCCAGGUCAGCAGCACUACAUUGCUGUGUGUCUGUAUAGUUGAGGGUGUAUUGGUUUAGGUAUACUCAAUUCAGUUCUGUUUCCAGAGGGGAUCUCAAUGCUGUUACACGUAGCCACGAUCACCAAGCUACCCUGACUUAA